UUCUGUUAAUUUCACUUAAAGAGGCCAUUAGACUGAAGUGGUUCUAAUACCUUAGCAGCCUAUGUAAGCAAACCGAAAGCUAAGCCUGUAAAUGCCUCAGAGGUUAAGAAAUCAAAACCUCAGG